rnacentral:rRNA from 1 species
UACGUAGGUGGCAAGCGUUGUCCGGAUUUAUUGGGUUUAAAGGGUGCGUAGGCGGUCCUAUAAGUCAGUGCUGAAAUAUCCCGGCUUAACCGGGAGGGUGGCAUUGAUACUGCAGGACUUGAGUGAAGUCGAGGUAGGCGGAAUUGACGGUGUAGCGGUGAAAUGCUUAGAUAUCGUCAAGAACACCGAUAGUGAAGACAGCUUACUAGACUUCAACUGACGCUGAGGCACGAAAAGUGUGGGGAUCAAACAGG